GGCAAAUCCGGAAAAUCAAGGCUGAGGCGUGAUGACGAGGCACUGCGGUGCUGAAGCAACAAAUGCCCUGCUUCCAGGAAAAGCCUCUAAGCAUCAGGUAACAUCAAAUCGUACCCCAAACCGACACAGGUGGUCAGGUAGAGAAUACCAAGGCGCUUGAGAGAACUCGGGUGAAGGAACUAGGCAAAAUGGUGCCGUAACUUCGGGAGAAGGCACGCUGAUAUGUAGGUGAAGUCCCUCGCGGAUGGAGCUGAAAUCAGUCGAAGAUACCAGCUGGCUGCAACUGUUUAUUAAAAACACAGCACUGUGCAAACACGAAAGUGGACGUAUACGGUGUGACGCCUGCCCGGUGCCGGAAGGUUAAUUGAUGGGGUUAGCGCAAGCGAAGCUCUUGAUCGAAGCCCCGGUAAACGGCGGCCGUAACUAUAACGGUCCUAAGGUAGCGAAAUUCCUUGUCGGGUAAGUUCCGACCUGCACGAAUGGCGUAAUGAUGGCCAGGCUGUCUCCACCCGAGACUCAGUGAAAUUGAACUCGCUGUGAAGAUGCAGUGUACCCGCGGCAAGACGGAAAGACCCCGUGAACCUUUACUAUAGCUUGACACUGAACAUUGAGCCUUGAUGUGUAGGAUAGGUGGGAGGCUUUGAAGUGUGGACGCCAGUCUGCAUGGAGCCGACCUUGAAAUACCACCCUUUAAUGUUUGAUGUUCUAACGUUGACCCGUAAUCCGGGUUGCGGACAGUGUCUGGUGGGUAGUUUGACUGGGGCGGUCUCCUCCUAAAGAGUAACGGAGGAGCACGAAGGUUGGCUAAUCCUGGUCGGACAUCAGGAGGUUAGUGCAAUGGCAUAAGCCAGCUUGACUGCGAGCGUGACGGCGCGAGCAGGUGCGAAAGCAGGUCAUAGUGAUCCGGUGGUUCUGAAUGGAAGGGCCAUCGCUCAACGGAUAAAAGGUACUCCGGGGAUAACAGGCUGAUACCGCCCAAGAGUUCAUAUCGACGGCGGUGUUUGGCACCUCGAUGUCGGCUCAUCACAUCCUGGGGCUGAAGUAGGUCCCAAGGGUAUGGCUGUUCGCCAUUUAAAGUGGUACGCGAGCUGGGUUUAGAACGUCGUGAGACAGUUCGGUCCCUAUCUGCCGUGGGCGCUGGAGAACUGAGGGGGGCUGCUCCUAGUACGAGAGGACCGGAGUGGACGCAUCACUGGUGUUCGGGUUGUCAUGCCAAUGGCACUGCCCGGUAGCUAAAUGCGGAAGAGAUAAGUGCUGAAAGCAUCUAAGCACGAAACUUGCCCCGAGAUGAGUUCUCCCUGACUCCUUGAGAGUCCUGAAGGAACGUUGAAGACGACGACGUUGAUAGGCCGGGUGUGUAAGCGCAGCGAUGCGUUGAGCUAACCGGUACUAAUGAACCGUGAGG
rnacentral:rRNA from 1 species